rnacentral:rRNA from 1 species
GAUGAACGCUGGCGGCGUGCUUAACACAUGCAAGUCGAACGGAAAGGCCAGUGCUUGCACUGGUACUCGAGUGGCGAACGGGUGAGUAACACGUGGGUGAUCUGCCCUGUACUUCGGGAUAAGCUUGGGAAACUGGGUCUAAUACCGGAUAGGACAACUUUUUGGAUAUUGUUGUGGAAAGCUUUUGCGGUAUGGGAUGAGCUCGCGGCCUAUCAGCUUGUUGGUGGGGUAAUGGCCUACCAAGGCGUCGACGGGUAGCCGGCCUGAGAGGGUGUACGGCCACAUUGGGACUGAGAUACGGCCCAGACUCCUACGGGAGGCAGCAAUGGGGAAUAUUGCACAAUGGGCGCAAGCCUGAUGCAGCGACGCCGCGUGGGGGAUGAAGGCCUUCGGGUUGUAAACUCCUUUCGCUAGGGACGAAGCUUUUUUGUGACGGAACCUGGAGAAGAAGCACCGGCUAACUACGUG